rnacentral:lncRNA from 1 species
AGCCAGACUUGCUCCCCAGCCCUGGCCACUCGGCGCUUUGCCGGCGGGGCCCCAGGUUUCGCGCAGCGGCCACAGCACAAGUCACCUUUCACUUGUGCUUCCUGCGAUGAGAUCUGUGCCCUCCUCCUUCCCCUCAGCCCCGCGCUGCCGCAGGCUUGCCGUGUUACCGCCGAGGAACUUAAUGACACUUCGUAUUUCAUGUCAGUUUCUUCAUCUUCCGAGUGGAGAUUUCUGGGCUAGAUUAAGCCCACCUGAGGUUUGCAGGUACCUUUUGAAUACAGGUCUCCAGUCCAACACACACCGAAGAACUCAGUGCCUGAGAUAUGUUCAUCUUAUUCCACGCAUGAUUCAGCUGUGGCAAGGGGCAGUCCUGCAAGACAUCACGUGUGCACAGUGCCAGGACAGGAACAUUUUUCACACGCAGGGAGCAUCAUUUCUGUGCUGGUGUAUCAGGGCCCAGUGA